CAGAAUUUUUUUCCUGAUCAUUAUUUUUAAAACAGUACAGUAUAACAACUAUUUACAUAACAUUUACAUGGUAUUAGGUAUUGUAAAUCAUCCAGAGAUCAUUUAAAGUACAUGGGAGGAUGUGCAUAAGCUCUAUGCAAAUAUU